rnacentral:lncRNA from 1 species
GUGAGACUGUCCUCUAACCAGGACAGAGCUUCCAGAACAGGACCUCAAGGCCAGCACGGGGCUGCCUUGCCAGACAGCAGCCGCACCCCAAGCUCUGGGCAGCCCUGGCCUUGCCCCCCAGAAGGCCAGCUCUACGCCCCCGGGAUAUCCUGCAGUCUUUGUUUACCUGGGCCACCUGGUGUCCAUGCUAAGGACUCAAGGUGGGGUCCCUGGGGCGGGGCAGGGCUGACACCACUACUGCCACCUGGGCUGGCUCUGCUGACUCGGAGGGUCCCUGUGCUGCCCUAAACCAUAAGUGACCCCAGCAGCUUCCCCGAGUCCCUUGGCUGAGCUCCUGGAGCUGAGGAUGGUCCUGGGACCCAGAAGGGCUCACAGGCAGGAGUGUAUGUGUCACAUGCCUCCCCACAGAGCGGUCACCCCCUCCACACUGCAGACAGGACCUCGAGGCCAGGCGUCUUGGUUAAGGUCUGCGGCAAACCCGGGGCCAUCCUGGCGGCCAGCUGUCACUCAGGGGAAAGGGGACACAGAAGCACAACACACAGCUGUUCCCAGCUAGGGUUUAUUUGGUGCCUAGGGUGGCACUGUUACAUGGGCACUACUGCCACUUCUGGGCUUG